rnacentral:rRNA from 1 species
UACGGAGGGUGCGAGCGUUGUCCGGAAUCACUGGGCGUAAAGGGCGCGUAGGCGGCGCGGGGAGUCAACGGUGAAAGCUCGGCGCUCAACGCCGAGUCGGCCGUCGAUACUCCCGUGCUUGAGCACUGUAGAGGCAGGUGGAAUUCCGGGUGUAGCGGUGGAAUGCGUAGAGAUCCGGAAGAACACCGGAGGCGAAGGCGGCUCGCUGGGCCUGAUCUGACGCUGAGGCGCGAAGGCGUGGGGAGCGAACAGG